AUUGAACGCUGGCGGCAGGCCUAACACAUGCAAGUCGAGCGAGCGGCGGACGGGUGAGUAAUGUCUGGGAACCUGCCUGAUGGAGGGGGAUAACUACUGGAAACGGUAGCUAAUACCGCAUACCAUCAGAUGUGCCCAGAUGUGAUUGGCUAGUCGGUGGGGUAACGGCUCACCUAGGCGGCGAUCCCUAGCUGGUCUGAGAGGAUGACCAGCCAGACGGGAACGGAGAAACGGUCCAGACUCCGACGGGAGGCAGCAGUGGGGAAUAUUGCACAAGGGGCGCAAGGCUGAUACAGCCAUUCCGGGGGUAUGAAGAAGGCCUUCGGGUUGUAAAGUACUUUCAGCGGGGAGGCGGUACCCGCAGAAGAAGCACCGGCUAACUCCGUGCCAGCAGCCGCGGUAAUUC
rnacentral:rRNA from 1 species